UCUUUAUUAAGGCGGGAAAUUUUUAGAGAAUAAAAUAGAAACCAUUCUGGAAAACUUGAACUAUGACCUUGAAAAGAAAGAAAUCCAAGAUCUACGCAAUCAUCUGAAAAGUGACAAUAAUGGAAAGAUUGCACUGAACUCCUUUAUGGGUACAGCAAAUUUAUUUUCUGGUAGUAAAAUUAAUGCCAGUGACACACAACUUUAUCUGAAAAACGUAGGAAUUGAAUUAACAAGGAGAGAAAGCCAGGAGCUGCUGAACAUACUGCCAUUGGAUGGUAAGCAUUUCAGGCAUUGCAGUGGAUUUCAGAGAAUACUGAGUUAUUGUAUUAAAUUCUAGAAGUGUAACUCUUUAAAGUGCUAUUAAAAUUUUUUAAAGGAAUGACAUCAGC
rnacentral:lncRNA from 1 species